rnacentral:rRNA from 1 species
GAUGAACGCUGGCGGCGUGCCUAACACAUGCAAGUCGAGCGAAGCGGGGACGGGCGCGUAAGAAGUGGAUAACCUCCUCUAAGACUGGGAUAAUUUCGGGUAACCGGAGUUACACCGGCUCCUUUUAGCUGGUUCCGCGUUGCAUUGGAUGGUGGGUAAGGUAACGGCUUACCAAGGCAACGAUGCAUAGCCGACCGGAGAGGGUGAUCGGCCACACUGGAACUGAGACACGGUCCAGACUCCUACGUGAGGCAGCAGUGGGGAAUCUUCCGCAAUGGGCGAAAGCCUGACGGAGCAACGCCGCGUGUGUGAAGAAGGUCUUCGGAUCGUAAAGCUCUGUUAUUAGGGAGGCGGUACCUAAACAAGAAGCCACGGCUAACUACGUGCCAGCCGCCGCGGUAAUAC